rnacentral:rRNA from 1 species
UACGAAGGGGGCUAGCGUUGCUCGGAAUUACUGGGCGUAAAGCGCACGUAGGCGGCUCUUUAAGUCGGGGGUGAAAUCCUGGAGCUCAACUCCAGAACUGCCUUCGAUACUGUAGAGCUUGAGUUCGGGAGAGGUGAGUGGAACUGCGAGUGUAGAGGUGAAAUUCGUAGAUAUUCGCAAGAACACCAGUGGCGAAGGCGGCUCACUGGCCCGAUACUGACGCUGAGAUGCGAAAGCGUGGGGAGCAAACAGG